rnacentral:lncRNA from 1 species
AAAAAUCUUGUUACACUUACAAUGUACAUGUAAAUUAUAAUGCUUCUUGUUACACUUGAAUCAUAAUGCAAGCGUAACGCUGUACUGAGUGUGCUUGCGUUGGAUACAUUUGCAUAGAAGGCAUAACUGUAACAACAGAAUGAAUAUUUAAAAAAAAAACACGUUUGACUCAAAAGUGUCAUUCUGAUAUCAUUUACAUUUACAUAAUUAAACAAAGGAUACAAAUUUGAUGAUUCACACUUUUUAUUCAUUGUAUAAUCAAUAUAAUACUUAUAUUUAUAAUGCAUUUGAAUGAUAACUUUAAAAUAACUGAUGACAAAUGCUUAGUAUAUAAGAUAACUUGUUUAACCAGUGGAACAUAUUUCACUGAUAACAAACUUAUUUUACCAGGUGAGGAACAAAUCUCACAAACCCAGAACUUAUUUCACCAGGUAAGGAACAAAUCUUACAAACCCAGAACUUAUUUCACCAGAUAAGGAACAAAUCUCAAAAGUCCACUGGAACUUUUUCACAGGAACACAGUUUGGCUAACACUAUCAGCCCGGGGCAAGAUCGCCAG